AACGUAGGUGGCGAGCGUUAUCCGGAUUCACUGGGCGUAAAGCGCCUGCAGGCGGUCUCGUAAGUGGGAUGUGAAAUCUCUUGGCUCAACUGGGAGGGGCCAUUCCAUACUGCGGGACUAGAGGGCAGAAGAGGGAAGCGGAAUUCCCGGUGUAGUGGUGAAAUGCGUAGAUAUCGGGAGGAACACCAGUGGCGAAGGCGGCUUCCUGGCCUGCUCCUGACGCUAAGAGGCGAAAGCUAGGGGAG
rnacentral:rRNA from 1 species